AGAGUUUGAUCCUGGCUCAGAUUGAACGCUGGCGGCAUGCCUUACACAUGCAAGUCGAACGGCAGCGGGGACUUCGGUCCGCCGGCGAGUGGCGAACGGGUGAGUAAAGUAUCGGAACGUACCUUUCAGUGGGGGAUAACGUAGCGAAAGUUACGCUAAUACCGCAUAUUCUGUGAGCAGGAAAGCAGGGGAUCGCAAGACCUUGCGCUGAUUGAGCGGCCGAUAUCAGAUUAGCUAGUUGGUGGGGUAAAGGCCUACCAAGGCGACGAUCUGUAGCGGGUCUGAGAGGAUGAUCCGCCACACUGGAACUGAGACACGGUCCAGACUCCUACGGGAGGCAGCAGUGGGGAAUUUUGGACAAUGGGGGCAACCCUGAUCCAGCCAUGCCGCGUGAGUGAAGAAGGCCUUCGGGUUGUAAAGCUCUUUCGGCCGGGAAGAAAUCGCAUAGGUUAAUACCCUGUGUGGAUGACGGUACCGGAAUAAGAAGCACCGGCUAACUACGUGCCAGCAGCCGCGGUAAUACGUAGGGUGCGAGCGUUAAUCGGAAUUACUGGGCGUAAAGCGUGCGCAGGCGGUUUCGUAAGACAGAGGUGAAAUCCCCGGGCUCAACCUGGGAACUGCCUUUGUGACUGCGAAGCUAGAGUACGGCAGAGGGGGGUGGAAUUCCACGUGUAGCAGUGAAAUGCGUAGAGAUGUGGAGGAACACCGAUGGCGAAGGCAGCCCCCUGGGCCGAUACUGACGCUCAUGCACGAAAGCGUGGGUAGCAAACAGGAUUAGAUACCCUGGUAGUCCACGCCCUAAACGAUGUCAACUAGGUGUUGGGUGGGUAAAACCAUUUAGUACCGUAGCUAACGCGUGAAGUUGACCGCCUGGGGAGUACGGCCGCAAGGUUAAAACUCAAAGGAAUUGACGGGGACCCGCACAAGCGGUGGAUGAUGUGGAUUAAUUCGAUGCAACGCGAAAAACCUUACCUACCCUUGACAUGUUCAGAAUCCUGGAGAGAUUUGGGAGUGCCCGAAAGGGAGCUGGAACACAGGUGCUGCAUGGCUGUCGUCAGCUCGUGUCGUGAGAUGUUGGGUUAAGUCCCGCAACGAGCGCAACCCUUGUCGUUAAUUGCCAUCAUUUAGUUGGGCACUUUAACGAGACUGCCGGUGACAAACCGGAGGAAGGUGGGGAUGACGUCAAGUCCUCAUGGCCCUUAUGGGUAGGGCUUCACACGUCAUACAAUGGUCGGUACAGAGGGUUGCCCAGCCGCGAGGUGGAGCCAAUCCCAGAAAGCCGAUCGUAGUCCGGAUUGCAGGCUGCAACUCGCCUGCAUGAAGUCGGAAUCGCUAGUAAUCGCGGAUCAGCAUGUCGCGGUGAAUACGUUCCCGGGUCUUGUACACACCGCCCGUCACACCAUGGGAGCGGGUUCCGCCAGAAGUAGGUAGCCUAACCGCAAGGGGGGCGCUUACCACGGCGGGGUUCGUGACUGGGGUGAAGUCGUAACAAGGUAGCCGUAGGGGAACCUGCGGCUGGAUCACCUCCU
rnacentral:rRNA from 1 species